ACACACAUUUUAAAGAAAAGCCACAGUAAAAAUUGGCACUUGGACCCAUUUGAACAGAAAGAGUAUAGUAAGUGUGCAUCACGGGAGGAAAUUCUUCUUGUGCGAUACACGAUGUCAUUUCUAAUCAUGCUCGUCAUACUGCCUGCCUAAUUUGUGGCUCUUUAAAACUCACUGGGCUGAGUGAUAACAUGCUGGCUGUGACAUGCAUGGACACUGGAGCCGUUGCUUUUUUUUUUUGACUUUGUAGAAACCACAUAUUACUAGCCUCAAGUGCCUGACUCCUGCCACAUUUUUCUGUCAGGCGGUAAUAAGUUAAGUGUUUUUAGCUUGUAUGGAAUCACAGUUGUGGAGGAAAAGUUAGACACUUAAUAGCUCAAUGAAUUUUAAAAUACAGUCAGUCCUCCAUAUUUGUAGGUUCCACAUCCACAGAUGGAAAAUAUGCAGGGAAAAAAGUUAUUGUUGACAUGGACUAAGUAGUUAGGCCUACAAUGGUUGUGUCAGUAGUAAACAUGUAGACUUUCUUCCUUAUCCCCUUAUCCUUAAAAAAUACAGUAUAACAACUACUUACAUUGUAUUAGAUAUUACAAGUAAUGUAGAGAUGAUUUAAAGUAUAUGGGAGGAUGUACGGAGGCUAUAUGCAAAUACUAUGCUAUUUUAUAUAUGGGACUUAAGCAUCCGUGGGUUUGGGUAUCCAAGAGGGUGGUUUAACACACCAUCCCACCUGGGUUCUAAGGGAUGACUGUACAAGCAUAUUUUUGUGAGUAAUCUGAAAUUACCAGAAAUUGUUUUUAGGGGGAAAAAAAGGCAAAAGCCCAAAUGUGUUACUUGUGAUCAGUUUCCUUUGGGAAGGAUGUUGUUACUCCUUUUUUCAGUAACAAUCAUGGUUUUCUUUUUGCCCUUGAAUUGUACCUUCAUAUGUAAACAAUUAUGUUUUUAGGCUUUUUUUAGUAUUAUAAAGCUUCCAUAUUAUGCAAGGUUGGUAACAAAUCUCUGGGCAUGCUUAAUAUCCUGGGAUAUUGAUUUAAUGGCAGAAAUGGUUAAAUCCGAUAUUCAUGGCUCUGUUAAUAAGCACACCACUGUUAGAUGAGAAGCCCUCUGAAAUUAAAGAACUUUGUUUUUCUUUUUUAGUAUCUGAUCAUUUGAAUAACAGAGUCUUUGCAAAUCCUAAAAUACAUGAUUUCCUACAGAAUUUAAAUGAAUACAGCUCUUAUUGACGCCUGCUUGGGACAGUGCAAGAUGAACCCAGCAGCACAUUAGGAUAUUUGAAAAGAUGACAGCUGUUUAAAUGCCAAUAAAAUAAACCUGUCUUCCUCUGUGAAUCAACCUGUCUUCCUCUAUGAAGACUGCUCAUAUUUGGAAAGAAGAGCAAGCCCUGUCUUUAUUCCAAGAACGAUGUGCAUUCACUCACCAAUUUCCUCUGGUUCGGGUUACUGUCCUUCUCCCGGAUCUGUGGGCCUGACCGGUCCCUCUGCAUCAUGAUGAGCUGCCCUGCAAGAUUCAGCAUAAUGCUCUCUGCAUCACGAGCCUGAAGAAAAAGAAAUUAAAUCCAUACUAAUUUUUAGUAGGUCACCUUUCCUGAUCUGUGCCACCUGAACUUGGAGCUCUGCCCCUAAUACUGAGAACAGGAAAUGGCAGAAGGAAAAGCAGCAGCUAGUAAAUACUGCAGAAACUCAGGUCGGAUUCCACACCCCGGCCCAGAGCCGUGCCAGACCACUGAGAAAACUGAGUGCUGGGGUACAGAAUCUCUACUCCUAACUUCUUAGGGUUCUCUUCAGUCUCAAAGAACCUAAUUUUUUCUCUUAAAGUCAUUCUGCUAAAACCCUGUCUCCUGCCCAGACCCACUUCUGUCUGUAACUGGUGAGACUGUGAGAGCCUUUUUCCUAGAAGAUUUGAUCUGUGCCAACACCACACAUGGUGCAUAAGAAUUAGAGUAAAUCAUUUGUAAAUAAAAUAGCCUUUAGAAUCCUCGCUGCUGACAUGCUUAACACAUUGUAGGUGUUUAUCUCCCACAUUUCAUGAAGCUUACUCUCUAAAUAGCCAGGAUAACUAGAAAACCAACAUUUCAGAACACUGCAUGGUAAUGAUUCGUACACCUUUCAGAAAUAAACAUUUAUAUUACACAAAAUGCUGAGUAUUAAA